AUACGUAGGUGGCGAGCGUUGUCCGGAUUUACUGGGCGUAAAGAGUGCGUAGGCGGAUGUUUAAGUGAGAUGUGAAAUACCCGAGCUCAACUUGGGUGCUGCAUUUCAAACUGGGCAUCUAGAGUGCAGGAGAGGAAAGCGGAAUUCCUAGUGUAGCGGUGAAAUGCGUAGAGAUUAGGAAGAACACCAGUGGCGAAGGCGGCUUUCUGGACUGUAACUGACGCUGAGGCACGAAAGCGUGGGGAGCAAACAGGAUUAGAUCCCCUGGUAGUCCACGCCGUAAACGAUGGGUACUAGGUGUCGGGGGUCCAACCUCGGUGCCGCAGUAAACACAUUAAGUACCCCGCCUGGGGAGUACGGUCGCAAGAUUAAAACUCAAAUGAAUUGACGGGG
rnacentral:rRNA from 1 species